rnacentral:pre_miRNA from 1 species
CUACUAUGCCUUCACCCUUUUGCGUUAGUGUAAAACCGCAAAGGAUGUUGGUAGAGUAUUG